rnacentral:lncRNA from 1 species
CAGGUCUCCAGAGGAGAAGCCCCAGCCUUUGAGUUGCUGCUGGUCUGCUCCCUGUUGGCUUGGAUCCAGGUCACCCUCUGCUCUUCAUAAAGCUCUUUUGUCGACUUACCAAGGGACCUGCCCUGAAAGCCACAGCGUGGGGCAGGGACAGACACCUAGUCCAAGCUGGACCAAUCGAUUUGCUCUCCCAGAAGUUGGGAAGUCAGACUCAGAGCCAGUUAGCCUCCAAAUGUGGGAAGAACAAAAGAGACAUUACCCUGGUGUUUGGGGAUGGUGCAUGAUCAGCCGGGCGUUCCAAGAAGGAAAAAAGGAAAAACCGUCUGAGCAGAGAAAGAAACAGUCGACAGGUGAAAUGAAUGACAAUGUUCUGGAGAACCUUCAGACCCUGGCACUAGAGCCCUUUGACUGGACUUGGCUUCUGGUAGGAACUCAGGUAGAUCAAUAAUCUCCCUUUUCUCAGAUAAGCUGGUUCAAGCUAGUUUGUGCUAUUUGCAACCUAAUAUUCAAAGUGUUUUUUUUUUUUCUUUUUUUCUUCUAUUUGUUUGGUAAAUGUAGGAAAAAUUCUCCCACUCAUUUGUUUAGUUGUUUUCAUUAAGAAAUAGUAUGUUAUAUGAAAUAUCCAAAAUAUGGAAGUCCAUAAAUACAGAAAACAUAUGGGUGGUUGCCCGGGGCUGAGGGAGGGGGAACAGAGACCGCCUGUACAGUAAGGUCUGGGGUUUUGUCUAGGGGGUGAUGAAAAUGUUUUAGAACUUGAUACAAGUGUUGCACAAUAGUAAGAGUAUACUAAAUACCAUAGAAUUCGACACUUUUAGAUAGUUAAUUUUAGUUGUGUGAAUUUCACUUCAAGCAAUGUGCUCUACCUUUAAAUACCAAGAAGUCCCAUUACAUGCAGAAUUUGCCAGUAACUUGCUGAAGUAUCUAAUUAAUGUCUCCAUUUGUUCAUUGGUCGUACAGAUUAUGUCCCAAGCACUGUUCGGAGGGCACUACAGAGCACAAAUGGACCCAGUCCCUGCCUAAGAGAGCUGAGAGUGGACAGUUAAGGAGCUGUAACACUAAAGCACUGCAGGGGGUGUCCUCUGCUGCCCUGCAGGACCCACCCCUACCUUUCCAACAAAGAAUGUUUUCUCUGCUUCCAUGAUGUCAAUCAGAACCCUUGAAACGAUUGGCUCAGGAAGGGACACUUGGCCAAAAGUCAAUCAAUCAAGACCUCCCUGGAACUCUUCUGCCACUGUUAUUCUGAAAGCCCUUGUGGUCCCACUGCUGUAGCUAACCAAAAGGCUGCAAGUAUGGGAUGCUAUUUUGACCACCAUGAGGAGAUGGCUGGUUCAAGAAACUGAGAGAGAGAGACCCAGAAUGCUAUAAUUAGCAGCCCACUGAUAUUUCCAGCGAUCAAGCCAAGAAAUCAUCUUCCUUGUUGUUUAAGCUAAUUUGUGCUGUAUUCCUUUCCCUUAAGAUUCUUUUAUUGUGAGGAGAGACAAAGGAAGUACCAGGUUCCAAAGAACCUCUCAGUGGGCACAUGUAUUAGAAGAUCGCAGGUUAUAGGAUCUACUCUGUCCAAUAAUUUACAUGUAUAGGUAGGCUUUCGAUGUUGAUUGACUAUUGAACAUUUCUAUUCAAAUGAUUGUUUCUGUGCAUCACCACCUUAGGAUUUCUAAGAUGUAUGAUACUCACUGAGCCUUGGGAACAUAACAGCAUAUCAUAUCACCUCUAGGUUCUUAGAGAACAGUCCGUAAGAGAGAUAUUCCUGGGGCUCCUGCAACAGAUUGAAGACAUUCAGUGGUGGUGACAGUGAAGGGACAGCCUUCAGUCACCUGCAGCUCAGAAGAGCCUGAAUUUCUCAUGUGCAGUUGGCAUCCUGCAUCACGCCCUUCAUCCCAACAGGACUGAGGCUGGUUCCCUAGCAACCGUGCUCCCUGCCUGUCCACCCACCCAGAAUUACAGCCAAUGCUUCCUCCCUAGGCUCUCUGGGAUCACUCCCCAAUGCUCAGCUUCUCAAAGUCUCUGUCAUCCCUCAACUGUCCCCCAGGAAGCACAUUCUCACUCUUCACCUCGCAAGCUUUAGAGUUUAUAAUGUUCCACUUACCUUUCUUCAUCAGAUGUUUAUGGCCACCCCAGGAAUAGGAAUCACUCUCUCCACUUAUGGACGAGGAAACUGAAGCUCAGAAAAGCUGGGAAACUUUCCUGAGGACACACAGCUCGCAAAUGGAGGAGCCAGGGUAAAACAAAGAAAAAAAAAUCACUUCAUCCUUCAGGGUGCUGUCCUCGUGAAUAAGCCGAACACUCUCCCACCCUGGCUUCCGGGCUUUGCCAAAUCCUUCAGUGAUCAGUCUCCACGAUUCUUUGGGCCUUCUUCUUUUUCACUGGCCUGGGCUCCAACCCUGCUUCACCUUCCUGGAUGCAGCUUCCAAAUCGUGUCCCCACCCUCCGAGACCAUCUAGCCUCUUCCUGUCCUACUUCGUACCACCAAGGACACAUCAGAGGUCACAGGGUCAUAGGAUGGGACAAUCAAUGGGACAAUGGUUGAAAAGCACUGAAUCCCAGAGUAACUGGGUCAGUUAAGUAGUCACUUAAGUGACUCCCAGGGACAAGUUAACAAAUAAGUUGACGAUAGCAAUACACAAAAUAAUUCAGGCUGGGGCUGAUGUUUACAAAACUAAUUUGGGUUUUGCAAUGAAGAAAACUUGACCCCAGCAGGACUCUGUCCUGACUUCCUGGGGGGGCCGAGGGGAACCUUCCCCCAAGGGCUGGGGUCUUCUGGAGAAACCAGAAGUAAAGCAGAUUCUCCACAGGGCACUAAACAAGCAGCAGACUGUGGAAGUGUGUUCAGUUAGACUUAUAAUCCUGAGAAAAGUGCCAGAAGAUGUUCUGUCACCAGGUCAGCCACAGCUAUUGUCUGUGACAGGAUUGGCCAUGCCAAGCCCGAUUGCUAGCCCCUGGUGACAUAAGUAUGUCUGCACACAACAGUGUGUUUCUAUGUGAACGCAUGUAUCUGUGACUGUGUGUAGUUUGGUGAUUGCAGCAUAUAAACUUGCUGUUUUCCUAAGUCCAAAGCAGAAUAGUAUUGGUCAUUUCAUUCGGUUCAAACUAACGCUUUAAAAACUGGAAAAUUCCAUAUUCAUGAAAGAUUUAUUCACCAACCUCCACUGAAAAUGUGGUUUUCAACACCAACAAGCAACACAGAGGAACUGCUUGGUUUUCAGUUGACAAGUAAAAGAGAUGGGACAAAGACAGCGGGACUUGCUCCCAAUUACACGUGGUUCCUGGCAGCUGGGCAGCUGAGCGGGUUCAACCGGCACCUGUCAGAGGCACUAUCUGCUACAAUCCAGUCAGACCCUUUGUGCUGACCCAUCGGCCUCAUUUGCUGGCAAGAUUAUCCUGGGCUUUACUUCCCUUUGCUCUUCCCUGUGUGGGAACAUGAAGCUCCAGGUCUCAGAGCUCGGCCUGCAACUCCAUUCCAGGCUUCCCAGACUGAAUGGGCCUUUCCCUUCUUGGCCCCAGCCCCCUUGCUGAGCCCUGUUCAACCCCAGCACACCACAGACCGGCUCUCGCAUGUAUUUUAAAUCUAGGAAUUGUCUUUCCAGGAAACUUCUUAUUGUGUUUAUCUAGGUCUAUUCUCCUAAAAAAAAAAAAAUGUGGGCAGUCAUAAGAAAAACUCAAAAGGCAAGAGGGCUGCUUCCAGGGAGAAGCUGGGAGCCCGGCCAGCUCGUGGAGAACCUGGGGAAAGAGGCCUGGCUGAUGGCAACCCAGCCAUCAAGUCAGCCAGAAAAAAAAGAACUGCCCUUGGAGGAAUGAGCCCUAAGAUGCCAGAGGAGGUUGAAGGGUCUGAUCUGGCUCAGGUGGGAUUCUCCAGGAAAAACACCCUGCAGGGACCAACCCCGAAUCAGGCCGUGCUGCCCUGCUGGACAUCACUAUGGGCAGUCAGAGGGAGGAAGGAGAGGUCGUGAGGAGGGAAGGAGGUGGCUAGGGGGAGUCACCAGACUGAUGCAACUGGCUUUGCAAUACCGUCUGUGCCUCCCCACUUCUUAAAAAGCAGGUCAUCUCACCAAAACAAGGCCCUUUAUCUUGGUGAUGUUGCAUAAAGAGUGCAAUAUUUAAGACAUUCAUGCUAAAAAAUUAUUCAUCGCUCAUCUGAAAUUCAAAUUUAACCAGUGUCCUGUAUGUUACCAACAACAUCAGGAGGAUGGAGAAGCUCCCAGAGGGAUCACAGAACCAAGUGUCCAGCCUAUGAUGACAGCCAGCCCUGGAUCCUCACCACACACAUCUAUUCCCAGAGGCUAACCCCACAGUGCAGUCAGCAGGUGAGAGACAAGCUCACACUUCAGAGCAGGAUGAGAGGGGUCAGCUCCCCUCCUGAUCCCCUGUCUCUGUGCUGCCUGGCACCCCACAUCUAGGCUGUGCUCUGGCUCAAUUCCUAAACUAAGGGUCUGAGGCUUAGUGAUUUAAGUAGCUCCCCACCCAUGCCUGCUGAUACCAGGAGGCACUGACAACCCCUUCCCCAAAACAUAGCAUCAGAGUCACACUUCUGGUCUCUAGAGAAGGAUUCUUUUUUGGGGGGGAGGGCACCAGGGAUUGAACUCAGGGGCACUCAGCCACUGAGCCACAUCCCCAGUCCUAUUUUGUAUUUUAUUUAGAGACAGGGUCUCACUGAGUUGCUUAGUGCCUCACUUUUGCUGAGGCUGGCUUUGAACUCCUGAUCCUCCUGCCUCAGCCUCCCCAGCCACUGGGAUUACAGGCAUGCACCACUGCUUCCAGCUAGAGAAGGGUUUUUUUUUUUAAUGGCUUUUUCUUUUAAUUUUGAUUAUGAUAGCUAUAAAUGAUUAUGCAAAUGAUUCUGUGAAAAAAAGAAAUGGAAAAUAGAGGCAAUUCUGAAUAAAAGAACAUGACACAACCCUAUAGUGCCGAGAUGUUCUCUUGCAGCCUUUUUGAUUUGCAUAUACGAACUUUCCACGUAGCUGGCAUCCUAAUGCAUGUUCACUUUUUUCUUGCUUUUUCACCCCAUUGUUUUGCAUUUGACAUCAUCCCAUUCGAUUCAACUUUACUCGAUAAAUAUUUUACCAAAUGCCUGCUCUUGCCCCGCGCUCUGUGUAGAGCAGUAAACAAGGCUGACACUGCCUCUGCCCUGGGCUGCCUGUGGUUCAGGGUGGGAGUCAGACAUUGAACCAGGGAGAUAAGAAGUGAAUUAAAUAGUUGCCCACAAAGUCUGCCACAUAAUUUAUCCUACACUUUGCUUUUGAGGAAAUGUGUUCCUAGAAGUACAGAAAGAAUAUGGUAAAGGGUUGUAUUCAAAGUAAAUAUUUUGUGUAUGACGCUAAGUGGUAGAAUAUUUCAGUGAAAA